rnacentral:rRNA from 1 species
GAUGAACGCUAGCGACAGGCCUAACACAUGCAAGUCGAGGGGCAGCACAAGGAGCAAUCUGAGGUGGCGACCGGCGCACGGGUGAGUAACACGUAUGCAACCUACCUGUAAGAGGGGAAUAACCCGUUAGAAAAACGGACUAAUACCGCAUAACACUGUAGAACCGCAUGGUUUGACAGUUAAACAUUUAUGGCUUACAGAUGGGCAUGCGCAUGAUUAGCUAGUUGGUGAGGUAACGGCUCACCAAGGCAACGAUCAUUAGGGGUUCUGAGAGGAAGGUCCCCCACACUGGUACUGAGACACGGACCAGACUCCUACGGGAGGCAGCAGUGAGGAAUAUUGGUCAAUGGGCGAGAGCCUGAACCAGCCAAGUCGCGUGAAGGAUGAAGGUUUUAUGAAUUGUAAACUUCUUUUGCAGGGGAAUAAAGUGUCCGACGUGUCGGAUUUUGUAUGUACUCUGCGAAUAAGGAUCGGCUAACUCCGUG